rnacentral:rRNA from 1 species
AGUGAACGCUGGCGGUAGGCCUAACACAUGCAAGUCGAACGGCAGCACAGUAAGAGCUUGCUCUUACGGGUGGCGAGUGGCGGACGGGUGAGGAAUACAUCGGAAUCUACUUUUUCGUGGGGGAUAACGUAGGGAAACUUACGCUAAUACCGCAUACGACCUACGGGUGAAAGCAGGGGAUCUUCGGACCUUGCGCGAUUGAAUGAGCCGAUGUCGGAUUAGCUAGUUGGCGGGGUAAAGGCCCACCAAGGCGACGAUCCGUAGCUGGUCUGAGAGGAUGAUCAGCCACACGGGAGCGGAGACACGGUCCAGACUCCUGCGGGAGGCAGCAGUGGGGAAUAUUGGACAAUGGGGGCAAGCCUGAUCCAGCCAGACCGCGUGGGUGAAGGAGGCCUUCGGGUUGUGAAGCCCUUUUGUUGGGAAAGAAAAGCAGCAGGUUAAUACGCCGCUGUUCUGACGGUACCCAAAGAAUAAGCACCGGCUAACUUCGUG